CCUUAGAAAAUUCAGGGUUUGAAAGGUUGUCAAGAGAACUGCAAGCCUAACAGAUUUUUCUCUUCUAUCUGUAGGUUUUGGGCCACACAUGUUCCACCCAAUGGGACCACCCCCUCCUUUCAUGAGGGCUCCAGGACCAAUCCACUAUCCUUCUCAGGACCCUCAGAGGAUGGGAGCUCAUGCCGGGAAACACAGCAGCCCCUAGCACAUUAUCACCACUCUGGGGCUCUACGGAAGAGAGGGCGCUUAAAAAUCCCAAUGGAAACACAGAUGUCAUGGGGCUGUGUAUCAUUGAAGAAACCUGGUGUCUAGGAUGAAAUUAUUUUAAAGAACUUCCAGUAAAACACUUGAACAAACUGUGAAAGAAAAAGAAUUAGAGUGUGUUUGAAUGGAAGACUUGUGACCUAUAGCUGGAACCUUGAUCUUCAGCAUUCACCUUUGUGUGACUUCAGCGUCUCAUUUUAAUUCCCUGCUUCUGGGCAGGGGACUCUGGUCUUAGAAUAUUUGGAUAUAACUGAAUUGUAGAUGGAAAAAAAAAAUUGAUGUUGUGUUGUGGUUUUGUUUUUAAAAAAUUAAAACGGGUCACUUUUC